rnacentral:rRNA from 1 species
AUUGAACGCUGGCGGCAGGCCUAACACAUGCCAGUCGAACGGUAACAGGGAUCAGCUUGCUGAUUCGCUGACGAGUGGCGGACGGGUGAGUAAUGUCUGGGAAACUGCCUGAUGGAGGGGGAUAACUACUGGAAACGGUAGCUAAUACCGCAUAACGUCGCAAGACCAAAGAGGGGGACCUUCGGGCCUCUUGCCAUCGGAUGUGCCCAGAUGGGAUUAGCUAGUAGGUGGGGUAACGGCUCACCUAGGCGACGAUCCCUAGCUGGUCUGAGAGGAUGACCAGCCACACUGGAACUGAGACACGGUCCAGACUCCUACGGGAGGCAGCAGUGGGGAAUAUUGGACAAUGGGCGCAAGCCUGAUGCAGCCAUGCCGCGUGGAUGAAGAAGGCCUUCGGGUUGUAAAGUACUUUUCGCGGGGAGGAAGGGAGUAAAGUUAAUACCUUUGCUCAUUGACGUUACCCGCAGAAGAAGCACCGGCUAACUCCGUG